rnacentral:tRNA from 1 species
GGGGCUGAAGCUCAGUGGCAGAGCGCUUGCCUCUGAAGCACUGGGUUCGAUCCUCAGCACCAUACAAAAAUAAAUAAAUAAAGAUAUUGUGUCCAUCUACAACUAAAAAAAAAAAAUAGGGGCUGUGUUUGUGGUUCCGCAGUAGAGCACAUGCCCAGCAUGCAUGAGGCAGUGUGCAUGAGGCCCUGGGUUCAAUCCCCACCGUUGCAUUA